rnacentral:rRNA from 1 species
GACGAACGCUGGCGGCGUGCUUAACACAUGCAAGUCGAACGAAGAGCGACGGAAGCUUGCUUCUAUCAAUCUUAGUGGCGAACGGGUGAGUAACGCGUAAUCAACCUGCCCUUCAGAGGGGGACAACAGUUGGAAACGACUGCUAAUACCGCAUACGAUCUAGUCUCGGCAUCGAGGAGGGAUGAAAGGUGGCCUCUACAUGUAAGCUAUCACUGAAGGAGGGGAUUGCGUCUGAUUAGCUAGUUGGAGGGGUAACGGCCCACCAAGGCGAUGAUCAGUAGCCGGCCUGAGAGGAUGAACGGCCACAUUGGGACUGAGACACGGCCCAGACUCCUACGGGAGGCAGCAGUGGGGAAUCUUCCGCAAUGGACGAAAGUCUGACGGAGCAACGCCGCGUGAGUGAUGACGGCCUUCGGGUUGUAAAGCUCUGUUAAUCGGGACGAAAGGCCUUCUUGCGAAUAGUGAGAAGGAUUGACGGUACCGGAAUAGAAAGCCACGGCUAACUACGU